GAUGAACGCUGGCGGCGUGCCUAAUACAUGCAAGUCGAACGAACAGACGAGGAGCUUGCGGCGCGGACGUGAGGGGCGGGCGGGUGAGUAACACGUGUAUAACCUACCUAUAAGAGGGGGAAAACUUGGGGAAAGGGGAGCUAAUACCGGAGAAGAUAUUGAAGCACAGGGGGGAAUAGUGAAAGACGGUGGUGCGGGCACGUAUAGAUGGAUCCGCGCCGGAUGAGGUAGUUGCGAAGGUAACCGGCUACCAAGGCAACGAUGCGUAGCCGACCUGUGAGGCUGAUCGCCCACCUUGGAGCUGAGCCACCGUCAUUACUCCUGCGGUAGGCAGCAGUCUCCAAUCUUCCGCAAUGGUCGAGAGCCUGACGCAGUAGCGCCGCGUCAGUGAUGACGGUGUCCGGUUCGUAAAACUCUGUUAUUAGUUAAGAACCACUGUCUCCUUAACUGUGCCCUUCUUGACGGUACCUGGUCAGAAAGCAACGGCUAACUACGUG
rnacentral:rRNA from 1 species